AGCAAACCUCAGAAAGCCAAUCUCAGUUCGGAUUGUAGGCUGCAACUCGCCUACAUGAAGUUGGAAUCGCUAGUAACCGCGAAUCAGAAUGUCGCGGUGAAUACGUUCCCGGGUCUUGUACACACCGCCCGUCACACCACGAGAGUUUACAACACCCGAAGUCAGUGGCCUAACCGCAAGGAGGGAGCUGCCUAAGGUGGGGUAGAUGAUUGGGGUGAAGUCGUAACAAGGUAGC
rnacentral:rRNA from 1 species